GUUUCCAGGGUUCAUCGAGGCUGGAGCAGGUGUUGGCGCUUCCUUCCCUUUUGUGGCUGAACAACACCCCAUCACGUGGCCGCCCCGCGUUCGAUGACAACACGCUCCACGUGCCGGAGGUCAACUUCACCUUCCCCAGCGCCGUGUGGCAGAGCAGCAGCAGCCCCAGCAGGGUGCCCCUCCUGCCGCGGGACAUCCGAGGGUCUACAGACAGCGGAGGCCACCACCACAGCCCGCAGUCCCCCAGCAACGUCCGCAGGCACCGCAGCGGCAGCGCCAAGAGGCCAAGAAGACCCAAGUGACGAUGCGGCGGGCAGAGCGGGAGGCGGCAGGGGACCCGCGCACGCGCUCUCUGCCCCGGAGCUGGAGUGGACAGAUGCCGGCCCUGGCAGGGCCCCUCUGGGGGCGGCCCGCCCCAGCCUCCCACAGCCCUUUGUCCCAGUGGCGCCUCCCCACCACCUUCAGAGGCAGGCUGUCCGUGGAGUGACACAGCCUUCCCAGGACCCCUCCCUGGGCGCCAGGGCCUUUUCCGGGGCCUUCCCGCCCAGGACCACUGCACACGGUGCGUUCUGCUCCGGGAGAGUGCGCUCUGUGUGCUAGGACGCCAGGCCGUCCCCCUCCAGGUCAGGCUCAGGCUGCAAACCACGGGGGACACCCGAGUGGCCACCAGCAUCGUGUAUUAGCCGGGAUUCUCCAGAGAAACAGAACCAAUGGGGGUGUGUGCGUGUGCGUACACAAAAGAGAGAGAGGUCAAGUCUUCCUUUAAGGAGUGGCUCACGUGACUGCAGGGCUGGCCCGUCCGAAGCUAGCAGGGCGGCCUGGAGACCCGAGGAAGAGCUGCGGCCACAGCCUCGAGUCUGGGGGCAGAAUUCCCUCUUCCUCGGGGGUCUCAGUCUUUUUUUCUUCAACUUGAUGCAGGCUCGGUGAGCCGAGGAGUUGAAGGAAAGAUUUCUUGGACUCUCAAGGUCUGGCAGUAGUGCUGUUUUAUUUAGAGAAUAGUGUGGAAUAGCAUGGGGACAGGACCCAUGGGCAGUCAGGCUGCUGCAUGGGGACAGGACCCACGGGCAGUCAGAGCUGCUGCUGCCGCUUCUGCUGCCAACAUGGGUGGAAAGUAAGGCUAAAUUGAAGGCAUAGGUAUGUGAGCCAUCUCUUUACAAGACAAAGGAAAGAACACGUAAAAAAGUUAAAAUGGUAUCAGUGCAGGUGCGGUCCGGCCAUUGGGUGGUCCCACAACUUUUAGAUGAGAAUCAAAUCGGAUUAAGUAAAGGCCAGAAGCCACCACCCUAAAUCAGUUACAUGAGGUUGCCAGACAGUAACCAACUUAAGUUCUUGCCUUUGGCAUUGACUAAGAGCUUCCAGAGACAAGGUCUUCUCCCUUCUUCCUGGCACAGAGAGGGAGGCAACCCCACAGACGGAGGUUUCCCCUACAAAUGUAAAUGCCUCCCAACAAAGGGCGAGCAAACUCAGCUCCUUGGAGCCUGCUUCUCAUCUGCAGUUUUAAAAUUAACCAGCCUAAAAUCCUCAUCAAACUGAUAGGGUGAGGCCCACUCACAUUCUGGAGAGUGGUCUGCUUGAGUCAGCCUACCUCCCGAUUUCCAUGUUAAUCUCAUCUGAAACAUACCUUCACAGCAAUGUCCAGACCGGUGUUUGACUGCACCUCUGGGUACCGUGGCCUGGCCAAGCUGAUGCAUAAAAUUAACCCCCACGCUCCCCAGGCCUUGGCCAGCCUGCAGAGUGGCGCUGGUCACCUCCCCACGUGCACACAGGCUCCCGGACAAGCCCGGCGUCGGGAAAGACAACAACAGUCUCCCAUUCCUAUGCGGGAACCUCCCCACCCCCCACCGCGUCCUGACCUCCCUCUCAGCACCCUGAGGGCACCGAGAGGGGAAGCUGCCAACUGUCGGGAAUGAGAUGGAAACGUGAGGGGAUGUGCGUCCAGCCCCAGAAACCCAAAACCCAAAGUCAGGGUUCCGAUUGCCUUAGGAUCGCACAGCUUCACUCAGUUUCCCUCAAGAGAGGAAAACGAGAACAUCCCCGGGCACCGGCCCCUGGGAGCUGGGGCGUCAGCUCGCCUGGCUGUGCCUUCGGCCCUCGCCGUGGGGACCGGAGCCCCCUCCCUCAUGGCGGGC
rnacentral:lncRNA from 1 species